rnacentral:rRNA from 1 species
AUGAAGCGAUACGCACAUUCUCUACCGGGCAUCGUCUCGCAAGAUGAUCUCAUCAGGCGCGGCACCUUAGUCGGAGUAUCGGCGCUGCGCACAGCUUGCCGCUUCCAGUCCUCCAUUGGAGAGCAGCGCUCCGUCGCCCGGAUGAGCAAGUCCGCCUACCGUCACCCGCUCGCACCCAAGGAUCCGUCGCAUCGCAACGUCACGAUACCGAUACGAGCGAGCCGGGCCGCCGCUUCUGCGUCUUCCUCAUCGGCCUCCGCCGCCCUUUCGGCAGAGGAUCUCAAGAGGCAGGCCCAGAAGGCGCUGCUACUUCAAAUGCAGCAGGAGGUGCUCUGGGAGGGAACAGUGAUCGACGACGUGCAUCACGCGUUGGUACAGCACUUUGUGAAGCUCAGCACUAACGAGAAGUACCGGCAAGCACGGCAGAUGCUCGUCAUCGGUGGACGCGCUAUGAUCGAGGAGCUGUGCCGCGCCGGGCACCGGCCACGCCACCUGAUGGUAGAGUGCGGUAAGCGGAUCCCGGAGUUUCUCCGGGACCGCCGGAAAACGGACGUCGUACUUGUCGACAGGUCUGUCUCGGCUGCCGUCACGCCGGGCUCAGACGGCUACGUUGGUGACUUUGAGAUCCCAACGCCGCCGAUGAAGGAGCAGCUCAUAGCGAAUCACCAGCGGCUGAACCGUGUGCUUGUCCUCGACAACGUCGAGGACCCUGGUGUGCUCGGCACCCUCCUCCGCACUGCCUCGGGGUAUCAAUACGACGCGAUCAUCGCGACAAAUCACUGCGCUGACCUGUACGACCACCGCGUCGUUCGCGCUGCCCGCGGGGCGCACUUUCAAACCUCCGUCCCAAUCUACACGUUGAAGGAGGAGGAUGGCGAUGACGUGUAUGGCUUGCUGAAUCACAUUGUCGAGCGCAACAACCUUCUGCCGCUCUGCUACACCACACAGGCAGACGCUGCCGACGUGGAUGGCGGGACUGCGGGAACGCGGACAGGGUUUGUCUCCUCACCGGAGGCGCCUGUAGGACGCGUCUUUCGGUCUAGCGUGGUGGGGGCGGCACCCGUGCCUCUUCCGGCACCGCGGCAGUCCGACUCCUCCUACGCGGCAUCGUCGUUGCGCGGACUCGCCGGCGUCUCGCAGGCGAGAGAGGAGCUGCUUUCGGACUUCUGCCUCGACCGUUUCACAGGCGCCUCCAGCGCUGAGGACGAUGCGCAAAGCGGCUACAUUCUCUUUGCCGGCCCGAACCACAAGCGGAACAUGCUUCGUCGUCUGGAAAGGAAAUUGUCGCGGAGAAGCACGCGGCUUCUUCUCGACAGCCUCCCGUCCCCGAGCGAGGCGCCGUCGGAUCUGCUCAUCGCGAUGUCAGUCGUGCUCUAUACCCUCCGCCCGCGGGGCAACUGGGAUUACCUGCCGGUGGACACGAAGCGGGAGCACUCCACGUUGGACUUGCAGGCGAAACACGCCUCAGUGGACAUUGGCGUCAACCGACUGCGAGUCAGCGCUGAUGACAUCAACCUCGAUGAGGCGGAGCAGCAAGAUCGUGCGCACGAGGCAAAUGAGCUCAUGCGCUGGCGGCGGCUCGCACGUCGCCGCGGCAGCGACCACGACCAUUGGAUGGUAGCGGAGCAGCGACGGGUGCAGGCAAUGGUGAGGCGCGAGCGGCAGCGUCGUGUGGCGCCCUGGAUGCCAUUACGUGACGCCAAGACAAAGCCGAUGCCGGACUGGGUACCGAACAUUAUCGACGAAUACCGCCAGUCUCUUGAUCGCGACGCGCUGACGCACGAGCGCGACAUCAGCACCAGCUAUCAACGGCCACCGAGGUGA